rnacentral:rRNA from 1 species
UACGUAGGUGGCGAGCGUUGUCCGGAUUUACUGGGCGUAAAGGGGCGUAGGCGGACUUUUAAGUGAGAUGUGAAAUACCCGGGCUCAACUUGGGUGCUGCAUUUCAAACUGGAAGUCUAGAGUGCAGGAGAGGAGAAUGGAAUUCCUAGUGUAGCGGUGAAAUGCGUAGAGAUUAGGAAGAACACCAGUGGCGAAGGCGAUUCUCUGGACUGUAACUGACGCUGAGGCUCGAAAGCGUGGGGAGCAAACAGGAUUAGAUACCCUGGUA